UGGGGAAUAUUGGACAAUGGGCGAAAGCCUGAUCCAGCAAUGCCGCGUGAAUGAUGAAGGCCUUAGGGUUGUAAAGUUCUUUUAGCAGGGAAGAUAAUGACGGUACCUGCAGAAAAAGCCCCGGCUAACUCCGUG
rnacentral:rRNA from 1 species